AGUGAACGCUGGCGGUAGGCCUAACACAUGCAAGUCGAACGGCAGCACAGUAAGAGCUUGCUCUUACGGGUGGCGAGUGGCGGACGGGUGAGGAAUACAUCGGAAUCUACUUUUUCGUGGGGGAUAACGUAGGGAAACUUACGCUAAUACCGCAUACGACCUACGGGUGAAAGCAGGGGAUCUUCGGACCUUGCGCGAUUGAAUGAGCCGAUGUCGGAUUGGCUAGUUGGCGGGGUAAAGGCCCACCAAGGCGACGAUCCGUAGCUGGUCUGAGAGGAUGGUCAGCCGCACUGGAACGGGGACACGGUCCAGACUCCUACGGGAGGCAGCAGUGGGGAAUAUUGGACAAUGGGCGCAAGCCUGAUCCAGCCAUACCGCGUGGGUGAAGAAGGCCUUCGGGUUGUAAAGCCCUUUUGUUGGGAAAGAAAAGCAGCAGGUUAAUACCCCGCUGUUCUGACGGUACCCAAAGAAUAAGCACCGGCUAACUUCGUG
rnacentral:rRNA from 1 species